rnacentral:rRNA from 1 species
UAGAGCUUGAUCAUGGCUCAGAUUGAACGCUGGCGGCAGGCCUAACACAUGCAAGUCGAGCGGUAGAGAGAAGCUUGCUUCUCUUGAGAGCGGCGGACGGGUGAGUAAUGCCUAGGAAUCUGCCUGGUAGUGGGGGAUAACGUUCGGAAACGGACGCUAAUACCGCAUACGUCCUACGGGAGAAAGCAGGGGACCUUCGGGCCUUGCGCUAUCAGAUGAGCCUAGGUCGGAUUAGCUAGUUGGUGAGGUAAUGGCUCACCAAGGCGACGAUCCGUAACUGGUCUGAGAGGAUGAUCAGUCACACUGGAACUGAGACACGGUCCAGACUCCUACGGGAGGCAGCAGUGGGGAAUAUUGGACAAUGGGCGAAAGCCUGAUCCAGCCAUGCCGCGUGUGUGAAGAAGGUCUUCGGAUUGUAAAGCACUUUAAGUUGGGAGGAAGGGCAUUAACCUAAUACGUUAGUGUUUGACGUACCGACAG